GCCUAGUUAGCUUAGUUGGUAGUGCGUCUGCCUUGUAAGCGCUAGGCCGCGGGUUCGAUUUUCGCCCGGGGCG
rfam:Asian citrus Psyllid, Diaphorina citri - Florida Strain, whole genome shotgun sequence.